GGGUGAAACCCAGUGUACUAUUGCACACGUUUUAUUUGUGCAAGCAUAUCCGUUUGCCAGACAGAAAGAUCCUCCCUCCCCUUUUCCUGAGUGCUGCUCUGGUGGUUUUCCUGAGCCCUGCUAAGCCAAUUUGGGGGAGGAGCAUUAGGGGAGAAGAGGACAGAAGUUCCUGUUGCACAACCAGAAGCCCUUACACGGUGCUUCCACUGACAGGGUUUGUUAGGUGAAUCUGACCCAAAGUGUAUCAUUGGGCUGAAUACACUUACAUCGAAAUAAAUGUGUAGUGGAUGAGCAACGCAUCAGAAAUCCACAAGAACCAUCCAGAGGUUAUCAACCCAGUAACGAAGGCUACAUUUUUAACUUCCAGUAACACACUUGUACAUAAAAGUAAAAAAGAUGUACAGCGAAUACCAUUAACAGCACUGUGGGGAGAAUCACUUCAUCAUGUCUAAAAUGCUUGGAAUUAGGAGAAUGGAAUUUAGUGUGACACUCUUUUAACCCAUUGUUUUCAAUGUCCAGAUAGCCUCAUCUCUGUACGGACUUGCCAUGGAUGCUGCUUCAUGUAAAUUAAAGCCGCUUCAUGUGAAUUAAAUGGUACUUGAAUGGUUAUCGUAACAUUACCCGGCUUUGAGUAUUUAGACUAUUUGUUUGAGUACAUCAGUUCGCAUGGUGGGAACAGGAUCCUGUUUUUCUGAAUCUCAGGUCUUUUACUUGAGCCACCAGUCCUGCUGCUGUCAAGGCAAGAACCAAGGUUGUUACACACUGAAUUUUCCUAGUGAUUAAGAUAUUUAACACAAGUUUUUCCUGUAAUUACAAUACAUUGGGAGAAUUCCGCGGUGCUCAAUGGCUCUCAAACUCACCUGCCAACUGUGUAGUAGCCCAGGGCUGCAAUAUAUGCAAACAGAGAAUGAGCUGAUUACCUUUGUGAUGUUCUGCUUAGUUUGUUUCCCUCCUCCUGUUAACACAAUACCCAUACAUGUUUAAUGGUUUGCCAUUUACUAGGAAAGGUAUAUACUUCAAGGUAAAUUUCUUUACAAUAAACGUAUGUUUGACAUCAUUUAGGCUCCUUCAUUAACAGGGCUUGAGGAGAUGUCAGCCCAUGUGAAGCAAACCCAGUAAAAUCUUAGCUUUGUCCCAUGCGACCUGAGAAAGUCAAAGCAGUAAAGUCUUCCUCAUUGAUUUUUAGAGCUUUUAAAGGGAAGGCACACUCUCAGAGCAAAGGUAUUCAUGUGGCAAGAACUUUGCCUGUCUAUUCUGCAUCGCCCAGUUGUAACAUUUGAAGGGGGCAACCACUGUCAGUAAACAAGAUGCAGGAGAUACACUCGGGGGAACUGUAGCCAAUUGCUUUAUAUGGUUCCCCAGGGCAUUUCUAGCUUGCUCUCCUGUUUUUCAUAGCUGCUAUGGCGCUCACGUGGUAGAGAAAGGUCAAACAUGUCUGCUACACAGAAAGCAUCAUGGGUACUUAUUGUCAGUUGCGUUUCUGUGUGCGAGUCCUGAGUUAUGGACAUGGUAUCUCUUGUCUGACAUGACUUAACUACCACUGCAAAUAAGUUCACUGCUUCUCUGUUGCCUGUUUGUGACAGAAGUUAGCAAGAGAAGCCCUAUAGCUAGGAUUCUACCCUCUGCCCAAAUGGGCUGUGGUGUUCACACAUUGCUGGUGUUCUCCAGUCAGAAGACAGAGCGAUUUGAUGAUGUUAUUUGAAGCAUUUGCCCAGCUGUGGUGACUGAAUGGGCUGCUCUGGGGCUUGUAUAUCUGCUCUAAAAUAGGGCCUUGCUUAAAGCAUUCUAGUCACCACAUGACAACAACAGGACCAGCUGUGAGACCCUUGGCAUAUGGCAGCCUGAUGCAUGUGGGCAGUUUGGAAGGAGCAACGCUACACCCCUCCCCUCCAGAAAAGACCAUAUUUGGAGAGGAGAAGGUGCAGGGGGGUGGGGGAAAGAAGGAAAGAAAAUAAAUCAAUUUUCCUUGUUUCUUGUGGCAGAGCUAAGGGGCAAGAUUGAUGUACAGGAUGGGGUCUAAAAGCUGUUGUUAGAGGAGCAGACACACACACAGAAACAGCGUAAGGCUGACACAUAAAUCACCUAAGCACUACUAAAUCCCCAAAGGCAUUCCCAUUAAGUGGAAUUCUAUCCCUAUUAGGCAGCAGUCAUUGCUAUUAAGUAUCAUUAGGUUUAAAUCUGCCCCCAGAAAGAGGGCAGAUUGAUACUGGGAGUUUUGCCUGAGUAACGACAUCAGGACUGGACGCUGAGCAGAUAUCCCAGUUGUACCCUUCCCCCGCCACAUGACUUCAUGGAACUCCGUGCGGGAAUGGAAUUGAAUGUGCCCACUCCCAGCACAUCAUAUUAAGGUUAAAAAUAUAUCUCCUCGUCUGCAUUCCCCAAGUGAGUAACAUUUCCAAACCCUUCCUUCGCAUACCUUUUAAAUAAAAGAACAACCUGCACAUUGUUGGAAGUUAAUAUUCAAACUAGAACAUAAUUGCUAUUUUCUCCUAGCCUGCUUUUUAAAAACAAACACAACAACGAGCACACACACAAACACACAACAUGAGCAAAUGGCUUUGCACUUCUCCAAUCUUUUUUAUUUUUGAAAAAAAAAAUUCUUACUAUAAUCCAGCGGGUAAGAAUCUAAUCCUAAAAAAAAAAAACCCCAAAGGCCAAUUCUCACAAACCUUUCCUCUGCAUGAUGCAUGUACUGCUAGUGCCUACUUCUAACUGCUAGUGGGGAUGGUCACGAGCAAGCCGGAUAGCGCUUGCCCAACUCUGCGUUGCAUUAGGUUUUGAGCACUGUUCUGGCCAGGAAUUUUCAAGCAUUUGUAGUAGUGUGAAAAAGUCAGUGUGGAAGUUCUGUGUGUACUGUCGCUCUGCAUAUGUCCACCUUCUUGCAUAGCAUGGGUGACUAGAAGUUGAUUCAACUGCCACAUCAGAAGCAGUUGUGGGGAAAAGCCAUUUUAUGCAUGUUAGCCUUUCAGAAAGGUGAAAUGUAAGUGCAUCUACAUAUGUUUUAAUAUUAUUUCCCUUAGCAAGAUAAAUGGUAUAAAUAAGCCUAGGAAGAGCAAUUCUAUACUCCAUUUUUGCCAGGACUGGGGGUGUGCUGCUGCUAGAAGGAGUUCAUCAGCAAUGCCCUGUCAGGAUAGAGACAGGGGAAAUGUGCCCCUGUUAAUUAUCCUCAACUGCUAUUGAUAUCCUCCUGGACCAGAUUGCUGAGUUAAGAGGUGGAUGGCACUGCUUUGCGGUGGUUCUGGUCCUACUUGGAUGGUAGUUUCCUGAGGGCAAUGCUUGGGGAUUGAAGCUGUCAAUGUAGGGUUCCUCGGGGUUCAAUUUGAUCCCGUGUUGUGUAACAACUACAUGAAACUGCCGAGUGGGGUUAUCUGGAGUUUUGGAGUACAUUGUCAGCAAUAUGCUGACACAGCUCUAUUUCUCCUUCACGUCUGCAGGUGAGGCAGUGGAUGUGCUGGACCGUUGUCUUGUCUUUGGUCAUGGACUGAAUGAGACCCAACAAACUGAAGCUCAAUCCAGAUAAGACUGAGGCAUUGUUAGUGUGUGGUUCCCUAGACCAGAUGGAUGGGAGGUUUCCUCCUCUUGAUGGGGUUAUACACUCCCUUUCUAGGAAUGGGUACAUAGUUUGGGGAUACUUCUGGAUCCUUUGCUGACGGUCAAGGCUCAGCUUUGUUCCUAUCUGGACAGGGAUAGCCUAACUACUGUUGUCUAUGCUCUGGUACUCUCUAGGUUAGAUUCCUGCAACACAUUAUACAUAGGGCUGCCUCUGAAGACAGUUUGGAAACUUCAGCUAACGCAGAAUUCGGCAGCCAGGUUGCUCAUUGGGGCAUAAUGGUUUGAGCAUAUUACACCAAACCUGGCCUGACUCCACUGGCUGCCAAUUAGAUCCUGGUCCCAAUUCAAAGUGCUGGUUUUGACAACGGGGAUGGGAGGAGAAUACACAUGUACUUUGCAGAAGGUAUUCCACUUUGCCUUUCUGACCCGUGCAGGGUACUCCGUCCUGUCACACAUACCCCAGUUUCUGAAGUGAAGCUUGGUGCUGAGUGGUGGUGCCUGGAGUCAUAAGGCAAGAUACCCAUUAAGUUUCUAAGCAGAGAAGUCAUAGCAAUGGACUUCACUUCCCAUGCGUGUAGUGGGGCCAGGCUGUUUUGUGCAAAAUGCUCAAAUACCCUAUCACCAGAGAUCUCGCUUGUGAGCUUUAAGUGUACAUGACACGAAGCCAGAGAGAUAGAGCUCCAUGCUGCACAGUGCACGCCCUGUCAUUUGAGUUAAGCUCUCUCUGUGUGGGGCUUAUAUAUUGGAGGCAGUGGAUGUGGAGUUACACAAUAUCCUAUGCUCUGUUCUGGCAACAUGGACAGGGUGGUCCUCAUCGAGAACAAUAGGAUGAUGAUGAUGAUUUGUACUAGGGCUGGUAUGAACUGGCACUGUUGACCAGGGCAAGGCCAUGAACUGAAGGUGUAUAGCCGGGUUGGGGAACCUCAGGACCAGGGACCAAAUGUGCCGCUCCAUUCCUCCCUGUCUGGCCCUUGGAACUCUCCUCAGGCCACACAUCUCAAUGCAACUGCUUCACACGAAGUGGCUUUUACUGACCGGAUUGUGUCUGUGAACUCUCAUAAUGCCUCUUGCUUGUCUUGAGAGAGAACAGAGAAGGGUGAAAGUGUGUGAGUGGAAACUAGCCUACUGUGUUCCUCCUACCAGUUUUGCAUUUGGUCCCACACACCACGGGCACAUGGCCUUCAGAAGGUUACCCAGAAAGGCAUGCGGUCCUUGGGCUGAACCCCCUCACCCAUGCGCCUUCCAUGUGCUGCUCACGUCCCAUGAGCAACUCCAUCCCAUUUUAGCUUUUCUGAAGGCAUAUCUUUACCAGCAGAGUGUUCUGCCACUGUAUUGUAGAAAUUCCACCCGCAUACCUGCUAUGGCCACAACAUACCUGGCAUUCAACCAGCAAACGGUGGCUUCUGAUGAACUGUAUAGCACCCCAGCCAGCAGAUCUAAAGUACUGA
rnacentral:lncRNA from 1 species